UCGGACGUGGUACAUGACGCACGCCCGCUCUUAGCUGAAAGGUGCCGAACAGGUGAACGUGGGAGCCCUGGGUUCGACUCCCAGCGUCCGAA